rnacentral:rRNA from 1 species
CAGUCGCCGCGGUAAUACGUAGGUCCCGAGCGUUGUCCGGAUUUAUUGGGCGUAAAGCAAGCGCAGGCGGUUAGAAAAGUCUGAAGUGAAAGGCAGUGGCUCAACCAUUGUAGGCUUUGGAAACUGUUUAACUUGAGUGCAGAAGGGGAGAGUGGAAUUCCAUGUGUAGCGGUGAAAUGCGUAGAUAUAUGGAGGAACACCGGUGGCGAAAGCGGCUCUCUGGUCUGUAACUGACGCUGAGGCUCGAAAGCGUGGGGAGCGAACAGGAUUAGAUACCCGAGUAGUCCCUGUCUCUUAUACA